UGGGCACUCUGGCGAGACUGCCGGUGACAAACCGGAGGAAGGUGGGGACGACGUCAAGUCAUCAUGCCCCUUAUGACCUGGGCUACACACGUGCUACAAUGGACGGUACAACGAGUCGCAAGACCGCGAGGUUUAGCUAAUCUCUUAAAGCCGUUCUCAGUUCGGAUUGUAGGCUGCAACUCGCCUACAUGAAGUCGGAAUCGCUAGUAAUCGCGAAUCAGCAUGUCGCGGUGAAUACG
rnacentral:rRNA from 1 species